rnacentral:snoRNA from 1 species
AAACCAUGAUGAGGACACUCUAAGACAAUGUCUUUGAAUCGUUCCAUGCAUCGAGAAAAUGAUUCAUUGGGUCUUUGGAGAAAUUGGAAGAUGUCGUUCCUAAGUUU